CCGCAUCUGUGCAUGCAGCAUAUCAAUAAGCGGAGGAAAAGAAACUAACAAGGAUUCCCCUAGUAACGGCGAGUGAAGCGGGAAGAGCUCAAAUUUGAAAUCUUAAAGGGUUUCCCUUUACGAAUUGUAGUUUAAAGAAGUGUUUUCUGUUGAGGUUUUGGUAAAAGUUCUUUGGAAUAGGACAUCAUAGAGGGUGAGAAUCCCGUAUUUGACCUUUACUUUCAACUUUGUGAUACACUUUCAAAGAGUCGGAUUGUGUGGGAAUGCAGUCCAAAAUGGGUGGUAAAUUUCAUCUAAAGCUAAAUAUUGGCGAGAGACCGAUAGCGAACAAGUACCGUGAGGGAAAGAUGAAAAGAACUUUGAAAAGAGAGUUAAACAGUACGUGAAAUUGUCAAAAGGGAAGCGUUUGACACCAGUGUUGUUUUUCUGAAAAUCAAUUAAAGAACUGUUUAUGCUAAGCUGUUUAGACUUUAUCAGCUAACUGUUUAGUUUUGAGCUUUUCUUUAAUGCACUUUUCAGUUAACAAGUCAACAUCAAUUUCUUUUGCCUGUAAAAAAGCUUGAGGAAGGUGGCUUGAGAUUCGUCUUAAGUGUUUAUAGCCUCUUGCCUAUGCAGUCGGAGAGAUUGAGGUCUGCAGCGUAGAUCCUUCGGGGCUAAAUGCAUUUGUGCUAAGUUAUAGCAUUUUAUAGACAACUUGUUGACUAUGAUUUGUCUUGUAGCUUACUCGCUUAUGUUAUUUUACCUACGCUUAGGAUGUUAGUCAUCACACAUCUCU
rnacentral:rRNA from 1 species